rnacentral:lncRNA from 1 species
AAAUUCUUGGGAAGAAACUCUUCUCCUGCCAAUGCACACGGUGCAUUCGAAAACUUAUCAUGUAUAUGAAAAAAGAGACAGACAGUUUAUCAUCUAAUUAGUUUAUGGCUCUCAAUAAAUAUGGCUUUUGAGACUACAAUAAUAAUCUUCUAGUUGUGAGUAAUAGAUAUAGACCGAUGGAAUUAGAUGUCAGAGUAUCAUUAUUUCAGAUGUUGUAUUGUUUCAAAUGUUGUAACAUAUAUAUAUAUAUAUAUUCACUAGAACACAUCCGUUCUAGAUCAAUGAGUUUUCAAUUUUCAACAUUUCAAGUAUUUAUGGUUCUUCAAAAAUGGAUAACACCACCCAACACACGUGUGUAUAUUAUAUGUAUAUAAUUCUAGAAGUUUCAUCACUAGAACACAAAUAAUUGGGGCUCUUUGAAUCUUCAAACAUGCCAUAUCCAUCGAUUACACGUGAUUGUUGAGUCAAAAACUCUAAAAGUUUCAUUCCAAAAUCUCUAAAGACGCAUAAAGUGUAACAAUUUUGGAAGGUUAUUUAAUUUUUAAAGGGGAUUCUUGAGGACCCAUAUCAAAUAAAUUGUCAAUCAUUAUUUGCUUUAGGCCUAAGGUGUAAAUGAUGGUCAAUAUUCCUUGUUUUAUCUUCUAAACAGAUAAGUAUGCCACCAUUAACUGUUAAUUUUAAUUUAGUAUUCAUAAUUAAUUAGAGUAGUUCAUUCUGGUGCCUAAUGCUUUGUUGGAUUAAUAUGAUCCACGCGUUGGUAAUUUUGUUGAUAAAUUAUGUCAAUGCCCUUGACAUGGGCCCAGCAAAUUCAAGCUGUGGAUUUAUUCAAUAAGAUGGAUAUACCGUACUUGUAACAUCAGAACCCGAAUGAGAAGUAAAGCAGUACACAGUUUCUGACUAUUGACAGAUUCGACAAACGAGACAAAUUAAAAAGUCCAACUAGGCUAACACUUAACAUCAUGAUUUCAAGAUCUAGACGCAAGGCGAAGCAGCAAUUUCAACAGUCUCUAGUAGUUUCGAUGUCCAAAUGAAGGGUACCCGAACUUGAUUGUUAUGAGACUGUAAACAAUUUCAAUAGUCAUUUUCAAAUUGAAAUGUUUGUUUGUAAACUACAACAUAUUAUUUUAUAGUUUCUAUGAUAGUUUCAGGAUUUCAAAAUUUUAGUCAUAAGAUUCACACAUAAUGAUACAAUCAUUGCACAGUUGGUUGCUCAUGCUACGCCCAAGAGACAGCCUAAAAUGCCCUUCAAACUUCAAGAUUUUGUUCGUGACUGAUGGUGCAACUAAUUACAACACUUAGAUAUUCUAAAGAUAUUGUGUUGAAUUUGUUAUUUACUUAUUAUUAUAAUUUUGUUUUGCUGUGUUGUCAAGUUUGUUAGAGAGGAUAUUUUUAGCCGUUUCUAGAAUUGUCUGUAACUCUCUUGAAAGAGUAUUUAAAUAAAUGAAUGAAUAAGAAAAGCACAGCUCCCUUAAAUUCAAAAUACAAUUCAUUUGUUCUCUAUAGUCUCUAUUCUUCACUCUUUCUAAUUUUGGGGGACUCCACUCUCUAAAGUGGAAACUAAAAUUUAGAACUUGCUGCUGUUGCUAUUCUUAGUCAUCACAUAACGUUUUAAAAUUUAAGUUAACAUUUGAGAAGACAAUGUAAUUCAAAUUUUGAAGGAGAUGCUCUUUUUGUAAGGGAGCUAAGUUUGUAUAAAGGAGGAGAAAUAAUUUGAACAUCAAAGAUUUGUUCUUUAGAUGCUGACGAAUCUUUUAUAAACUUAAAAGCGUGAUUAAAAAGCUUUUUAAAUGAGACCCUACUAUUUAUUUGAAGAACUAUCUCAACAAAAAGAGUUUUAAAAAAUUCUUCAAAUAAGAUUGUACUCCUUUAUCUCAUUUUAAUAAUCUUAUUUGGAGAGUCUCUUAGAGCCUUUAAUUUAGUAUUAUGUUUUUUUUUCCCAUUAUCCUUAAAGAGUGAGAAGUGUUAUAAUUAUUAUUAUUUUGGUAUAGUCAAAAGUCUGAUUAAAAUAAUAUAAAUUUAUUUUUAUUUAAAAAGUCUUCUAGGAAAUAAUAUAAAUUUAUUUAAUAAUCUUAUUUAAAAUAAUAUAAAUAUUGAAGAGCUAAAUUAAAAGAGUCUUUUGGUGCUCUUAAGUAUGCACCAAUAAUACUAACCGAUGUCACCUCUAUUUUCUUUUUUUUUAAUAAGUCUUCAUUGUGUUGAUCAACAAAGUUGUAUUAACCCUUUAAUUAUUAGGAAAAUUAUCAAUUAUUCAUCUUAAAUUUAAUCUGUUAUAAAAAAAUAUUAUUAAAGUUUGAAUUUAUUCAAUUUUCAAUUGUAUAAACCAUCCACAAAAAAGACUUAAUUACCCUUACAAAAUGACAAAAUAAAAAUAAGCACAAAUUAUAACAGUAGUUAUUUUGUAAGGGUAAUUACGAUAAUAAUUAUUAUUAUCAAACUUGUCCCCUCUCCAAAUUAAGCAUAUUCCUUUAGGGUGCAUUUGGCACACUGUAUUGUAUUAUAUUGUAUUGCAUUAUUUUAAUGUUGGUGUAUUGUAUUAUGUUGUAUUACAUUAGCAUUGUAUUAUAACAAUGUUGUACAAUGUUUGGUACCACAGUGUAC